GCCUGAUAGAUACAUACACAGAGAGAAAGAACUGUGACACUGAGCUCCUGGCCAAACGUUAGCCAUGAAGAUACUUUACCUCCUUUUUGCUGUCUUCUUCCUGGUGGCGCAAAGCACUGAAGUUGAAGACCGUGGAAUCUUUAGCGCUGGCGUAUGCCUGGGUAGGAAGGGUGCCUGCUUCCUUUUCCAUUGUCCUCUCAAUACGAUACGUAUCGGCCGCUGUGGUCUGCUUUGGCAUUGCUGUAGGUGCAAUAAGCUUAACUGAUGGCUCCAGAGAUUGUGAAUGCAGGAUCUCUGGGAAUCUGGCAGAGGAUGCCCUGCUACUGAAAUCAUCGAAGCCUUUUAAUCUGGGCUGUAAACAAUCUUGUGACCUGGAGAAAACCCACAAAGGAGCCCUAGUAUUACCUAUAAUGACUUUAAUAAAAGUAACUUGUUGUGGUUGUGUAUUGUUGAAAUGUGAGUGGUGUGCAGGGGCUUUUUAGCUAUUUCUUUUCCAUAAAAAUUAAUUUCUCUUUUUCCUCUUGAAAUUAGAAAUAAAUAAAACAAAGGGUCACUAUUGUACAUUAAAUCCACCAAGGGUAUUCCAAGACUGGGGAACAUACAUAUUUUUAUGUUUCAGUGAGCUCACAUAGAUAAUCUUUACCUAUUCUGUACAUCUUUCACAAAUCCAUUUUGGUUUGUGGUGGUGUUAGAGGAGUUGGGUCCAGUUACAGUUUGAUGGUGUGGUGUAUGUCCACCUCGGCACCUCAACCCUCCCUCUGCUCUGAAACCUUCCCAUCACCAGUUCCCCUUCACUUGUGGCAGAACU